rnacentral:rRNA from 1 species
GACGGAGGAUGCAAGUGUUAUCCGGAAUCACUGGGCGUAAAGCGUCUGUAGGUGGUCAAAUAAGUCAACUGUUAAAUCUUGAGGCUCAACCUCAAAAUCGCAGUCGAAACUAUUCGACUAGAGUAUAGUAGGGGUAAAGGGAAUUUCCAGUGGAGCGGUGAAAUGCGUAGAGAUCGGAAAGAACACCAACGGCGAAAGCACUCUGCUGGGCCGACACUGACACUGAGAGACGAAAGCUAGGGGGAGCGAAUGGG